GUGUGACAAGAACCAGGGAAGUGGGAGGGUGAAGGGAAAGCCCUCUAACACCCUAACUACAGGAGAAGCAGUUGAUGCAGGGAGAUUAAAUGAAAAAAGAGAAGGAACGGAUGAAGAGCAUCACAUUGACAUCUCUGCUUGUUUUAAAAAGAUUGAAUUAGUCCCUUACCUGUUUUUCAGAAGGCAUACCAAAGAGGGUGGUGCAGAAGGACAUUUAGAAGACAUGUGUCAAGGAAAGAAGAUAAUUAUAUUGUCCCAUCAACAUAUAAACCGAACGGUUCAACACAGUAUGUUCCUUUAUGCAGCUCUCAAACCCAACGGGGUGGGGAAGGCAUAUCAACAGAAAAGGUCCUCUGCUCAGAUUUUUUUCCUAACAAUCCAAGACUGGCAGUGAACAAAGACAAUUCUCUAAUACAUAACAACAAACCAGUGGGCACACUUUGUCGUAUUGCAGGAAGAGGGAGGCAUAGACGGUCUCAGUCAGCAGAGAAUAGAUUGCGAUCAUAAUGAGAAGCACUGCCAACUUCAGGACGGAGUUGAGACGAAGAAACACGGCACAGGUCACCAUUGCCAAAACACCGAAGGAAGUAAACUUUGGAUUGCCGUAAUAAAUACAAGGACAAUGAAUGCACACACCAAGUUUGAUUUGAACACUUCAUCCCUCAUUUGAGAAUACUGGAAUAAAAAAUAA